GACGAACGCUGGCGGCGUGCCUAAUACAUGCAAGUCGAGCGGAUCUGGGGGAGCUUGCUCCUUCCAGUUUAGCGGCGGACGGGUGAGUAACACGUGGGCAACCUGCCCUGCAGAUCGGGAUAACUCCGGGAAACCGGUGCUAAUACCGAAUAGUUUGGCGCCUCUCCUGAGGCGCUACGGAAAGACGGUUUCGGCUGUCACUGCAGGAUGGGCCCGCGGCGCAUUAGCUAGUUGGUGGGGUAACGGCCCACCAAGGCGACGAUGCGUAGCCGACCUGAGAGGGUGACCGGCCACACUGGGACUGAGACACGGCCCAGACUCCUACGGGAGGCAGCAGUAGGGAAUCUUCCGCAAUGGACGCAAGUCUGACGGAGCAACGCCGCGUGAGUGACGAAGGUUUUCGGAUCGUAAAACUCUGUUGUGAGGGAAGAACACGUACCAACUAACUAUUGGUACCUUGACGGUACCUCUCCAGAAAGCCACGGCUAACUACGUGCCAGCAGCCGCAGUAA
rnacentral:rRNA from 1 species